rnacentral:rRNA from 1 species
GACGAACGCUGGCGGCGUGCUUAACACAUGCAAGUCGAACGGAAAGGCCCUGCUUUUGUGGGGUGCUCGAGUGGCGAACGGGUGAGUAACACGUGAGUAACCUGCCCUUGACUUUGGGAUAACUUCAGGAAACUGGGGCUAAUACCGGAUAGGAGCUCCUGCUGCAUGGUGGGGGUUGGAAAGUUUCGGCGGUUGGGGAUGGACUCGCGGCUUAUCAGCUUGUUGGUGGGGUAGUGGCUUACCAAGGCUUUGACGGGUAGCCGGCCUGAGAGGGUGACCGGCCACAUUGGGACUGAGAUACGGCCCAGACUCCUACGGGAGGCAGCAGUGGGGAAUAUUGCACAAUGGGCGGAAGCCUGAUGCAGCAACGCCGCGUGCGGGAUGACGGCCUUCGGGUUGUAAACCGCUUUCGCCUGUGACGAAGCGUGAGUGACGGUAAUGGGUAAAGAAGCACCGGCUAACUACGUGCCAGCAGCCGCGGUGAUACGUAGGGUGCGAGCGUUGUCCGGAUUUAUUGGGCGUAAAGGGCUCGUAGGUGGUUGAUCGCGUCGGAAGUGUAAUCUUGGGGCUUAACCCUGAGCGUGCUUUCGAUACGGGUUGACUUGAGGAAGGUAGGGGAGAAUGGAAUUCCUGGUGGAGCGGUGGAAUGCGCAGAUAUCAGGAGGAACACCAGUGGCGAAGGCGGUUCUCUGGGCCUUUCCUGACGCUGAGGAGCGAAAGCGUGGGGAGCGAACAGGCUUAGAUACCCUGGUAGUCCACGCUGUAAACGGUGGGUACUAGGUGUGGGAUCCAUUCCACGGGUUCCGUGCCGUAGCUAACGCUUUAAGUACCCCGCCUGGGGAGUACGGCCGCAAGGCUAAAACUCAAAGGAAUUGACGGGGCCCCGCACAAGCGGCGGAGCAUGCGGAUUAAUUCGAUGCAACGCGUAGAACCUUACCUGGGUUUGACAUGGAUCGGGAGUGCUCAGAGAUGGGUGUGCCUCUUUUGGGGUCGGUUCACAGGUGGUGCAUGGCUGUCGUCAGCUCGUGUCGUGAGAUGUUGGGUUAAGUCCCGCAACGAGCGCAACCCUUGUUCACUGUUGCCAGCACGUUAUGGUGGGGACUCAGUGGAGACCGCCGGGGUCAACUCGGAGGAAGGUGGGGAUGACGUCAAGUCAUCAUGCCCCUUAUGUCCAGGGCUUCACGCAUGCUACAAUGGCUGGUACAGAGAGUGGCGAGCCUGUGAGGGUGAGCGAAUCUCGGAAAGCCGGUCUCAGUUCGGAUCGGGGUCUGCAACUCGACCUCAUGAAGUCGGAGUCGCUAGUAAUCGCAGAUCAGCAACGCUGCGGUGAAUACGUUCCCGGGGCU